GUUCCCCAAUCAGACCAAAUAAAUAUCACAUAAGAAUGCAGUAAGCUAUUGCCCGAUCGAGUUCACAGAAAGUUACUCUUCUUCAGGAAUCCAGUAUGAUGAAGAUGUUCUUCCUCCUCCUCCACCUCGGACUGUUUGCUGUUGCUCAUUGCUCUCCUUCAGCUUUAGAAGAUCAGCUGCAGUUUAACUUGGAUGACAACGUGGGAGAACGUGUUGCACCAGGCAAAGAUGAGGAAGAAAUGAAGAUGCCAAUUCAGUUUCAAAUUAAUGGAGAAUCAUAUUUCUACCAUGAUAAAGGGUUAUCUUUUUAUAAU